rnacentral:misc_RNA from 1 species
GAAAUGCGAUAAGUAGUGUGAAUUGCAGAAUUCAGUGAAUCAUCGAAUCUUUGAACGCACAUUGCGCCCUUUGGUAUUCCUUAGGGCAUGCCUGUUCGAGCGUCAUUUGUAACCUCAAGCUCAGCUUGGUGUUGGGUGUCUGUCCCGCCUCCGCGCGCGGACUCACCUCAAAUCCAUUGGCGGCCCCCGCGUCGGCCACGAGCGCAGCAGAAACGCGAACUCGUGAGCCCGUCCGGGCGGCUCCCAGAAGCUACACCCACCCAGUUUGACCUCGGAUCAGGUAGGGAUACCCGCUGAACUUAAGC